rnacentral:rRNA from 1 species
GACGAACGCUGGCGGCGUGCUUAACACAUGCAAGUCGAACGCUGAAGCUCAGCUUUUGUUGGGUGGAUGAGUGGCGAACGGGUGAGUAACACGUGAGUAACCUGCCCCCUUCUUUGGGGUAACGUCCGGAAACGGGUGCUAAUACUGGAUAUUCACUGGCCUUCGCAUGGGGGUUGGUGGAAAGGGUUUUUCUGGUGGAGGAUGGGCUCGCGGCCUAUCAGCUUGUUGGUGGGGUGAUGGCCUACCAAGGCGUUGACGGGUAGCCGGCCUGGGAGGGUGACCGGUAACAUUGGGACUGAGAUACGGCCCAGACUCAUACGGGGGGCAGCAGUGGGGAAUAUUGCACAAUGGGCGCAAGCCUGAUGCAGCGACGCCGCGUGAGGGAUGGAGGCGUUCGGGUUGUGAACCUCUUUCGCUCAUGGUCAAGCCGCAACAAUGGUUGUGGUGAGGGUAGUGGGUAAAGAAGCGCCGGCUAACUACGUG